rnacentral:rRNA from 1 species
CAAUAGCGUAUAUUAAAGUUGUUGCAGUUAAAAAGCUCGUAGUUGGAUUUCUUGGAGGGUGCCAAUGUCCGCUACGGCGUGCGCAGCGGCGCCCUUCCAUCCUUCUGUUAACGCCUCUUGGCAUUCGUUUGCUGGUGGCGGGCUCAGAUAUUUUACCUUGAGAAAAUUAGAGUGUUUCAGGCAGGCUAGGCCGGAAUACAUUAGCAUGGAAUAAUGGAACGGGACUAUGGUCUCUUUGUUGGUUUGAGGGACUGCAGUAAUGAUUAAUAGGGACAGUUGGGGGCAUUAGUAUUUAAUUGUCAGAGGUGGAAUUCUCAGAUUUGUUAAAGACUAACUUAUGCGAAAGCAUUUGCCAAGGAUGUUUUCAUUAA